GUCUGUGGCAACCCUGCAUGGAGCAAGUCUGUCGGCACCAAUUUUUGCAGCAGCCUUUGCUCACUUCCUGUCUGAGUGUCACACUGUGAAACCGCCCUCCACUGGUGACACAUGUGAGCACAGAGUGGACCAUCACCCAGGAAAGUCCCUCGGGACCCCAGGCCUCCCAGAGUUCCACAUUUUCAUUAAAAGCUCCUUUACAAGUUAUGGACACUACUCUGACGUAUCGCCAGAGGAUUCAUAUUCCAGACGAGUCCUGUCAGCUGCGGUGUCAUCAGAAAAUCGCUGGCAGCCGGAGCGGAGGGCGCUGGUCUCUGCCCCACUCACCGUAUUGAUCCAAAGAUUUUCCUCAUUAUGCGGAUCCAAACCGAGCACCGGCGACACCACCGUGACGUCUCAUUGCGAUGGUCAUGGGGGCACGGGGCUCUCACGGGCUUGUCAUCUGUCCCCCACUUGGGGACCCCAGGCCACCCUUUUAAAGAGCACGCUUGACCCCUGGGUGGCGGCAGCGUGGCCGGGAGGUCCGGGCACUGAGCACACCCGGGGCUCCAGGUCAGUGUGAGGCUGACCCCCGGCCUCCAGAUGGGUCUGCACCCAUGGCGUCGGCGCCCUGGGUUCCCUCGCAUUCUGGUCCCCCGGGGUGCCGUCAUCUUAAUGUCCCUGCUGACACUUUGCCCCCAAAAGGAGGCUCGCUUUUGUUGACAGAGGGAGUCCACAAGAAAUUAUUUAUUUUGACCCGCUUGGGAAAUAACUCCUCUCUCAACAAGACCGACCAAACUCAGCCUCUCCUCCGUCAAAACCCAACGCAAACGCGCCAGCCUGCCUUUCCAAUCCGUGUCUGAAAUCCUGAUCUUGACCUUGGCCCCACUGCUCUGCAGGUGUGGCCUCCUCCAC